AUCUUUACCUGGCAUGGGCAAUACCAUGAUCAAAGCGGUGGUUCAAUGAGGCUCAGACAUUGCACUUGAGCUGUGCUGAACUUUGUGAAUUAUGCAAAUGCGGGAAUCUCAGCUGCAUAAUUUCUGAUAGUGGGCCAGUGUGUUUAUGCUCCGGGUCA